rnacentral:tRNA from 1 species
GCCCCCAUAGCUCAAUUGGUAGAGCAAUUCCCUUUUAAGGAAGAGGUUCCAGGUUCGAUGCCUGGUGGGGGCACCG